GACGAACGCUGGCGGCGUGCUUAACACAUGCAAGUCGAGCGGUAAGGCCCUUUCGGGGGUACACGAGCGGCGAACGGGUGAGUAACACGUGGGUGACCUGCCCUCAGCUCUGGGAUAAGCCUGGGAAACUGGGUCUAAUACUGGAUAUGACUCCACGGUGCAUGUCGUGGGGUGGAAAGCCUUGUGCGGCUGAGGAUGGGCCCGCGGCCUAUCAGCUUGUUGGUGGGGUGANGGCCUACCAAGGCGACGACGGGUAGCCGGCCUGAGAGGGCGACCGGCCACACUGGGACUGAGACACGGCCCAGACUCCUACGGGAGGC
rnacentral:rRNA from 1 species